UACGGAGGGUGCGAGCGUUAUCCGGAAUCACUGGGUUUAAAGGGUGCGUAGGCGGGUUUUUAAGUCAGAGGUGAAAUGUAAUCGCUUAACGAUUAACUUGCCUUUGAUACUGGGAAUCUUGAAUAACAUUGAGGUUGGCGGAAUGUGACAUGUAGCGGUGAAAUGCUUAGAUAUGUCAUAGAACACCGAUUGCGAAGGCAGCUGACUGGAUGUUUAUUGACGCUGAGGCACGAAAGCGUGGGGAUCAAACAGG
rnacentral:rRNA from 1 species